GACGAAGGAUGCAAGCGUUAUCCGGAUUCAUUGGGUUUAAAGGGUGUGUAGGUGGCGCGCUAAGUCGGGUGUGAAAUUUCGGAGCUUAACUCCGAAACUGCAUUCGAUACUGGCGUGCUUGAGGACUGGAGAGGAGACUGGAAUUCAUGGUGUAGCGGUGAAAUGCGCAGAUAUCAGGAGGAACACCGGUGGCGAAGGCGGGUCUCUGGGCAGUAACUGACGCUGAGGAGCGAAAGCGUGGGGAGCGAACAGG
rnacentral:rRNA from 1 species